rnacentral:rRNA from 1 species
GAUGAACGCUGGCGGCGUGCCUAAUACAUGCAAGUCGAGCGAACAGAUGAGGAGCUUGCUCCUCUGACGUUAGCGGCGGACGGGUGAGUAACACGUGGAUAACCUACCUAUAAGACUGGGAUAACUUCGGGAAACCGGAGCUAAUACCGGAUAAUAUAUUGAACCGCAUGGUUCAAUAGUGAAAGACGGUUUUGCUGUCACUUAUAGAUGGAUCCGCGCCGCAUUAGCUAGUUGGUAAGGUAACGGCUUACCAAGGCAACGAUGCGUAGCCGACCUGAGAGGGUGAACGGCCACACUGGCACUGAGACACGGUCCAGACUCCUACGGGAGGCAGCAGUAGGGAAUCUUCCGCAAUGGGCGAAAGCCUGACGGAGCAACGCCGCGUGAGUGAUGGAGGUCUUCGGAUCGUAAAACUCUGUUAUUGGGGAAGAACAAAUGUGUAAGUAACUAUGCACGUCUUGACGGUACCUAAUCAGAAAGCCACGGCUAACUACGUG